rnacentral:misc_RNA from 1 species
GAUGAAGUACGCAGCGAAUUGCGAUAAGUAAUGUGAAUUGCAGAAUUCAGUGAAUCAUCGAAUCUUUGAACGCAGCUUGCGCUCUCUGGUAUUCCGGAGAGCAUGCCUAUUUCAGUGUCAUGAAAUCUCAACCACUAGGGUUUCCUAAUGGAUUGGAUUUGGGCGUCUGCGAUUUCUGAUCGCUCGCCUUAAAAGAGUUAGCAAGUUUGACAUUAAUGUCUGGUGUAAUAAGUUUCACUGGGUCCAUUGUGUUGAAGCGUGCUUCUAAUCGUCCGCAAGGACAAUUACUUUGACUCUGGCCUGAAAUCAGGUAGGACUACCCGCUGAACUUAAGCAUAUCAAUAAGCGGAGGA